rnacentral:lncRNA from 1 species
AUAGUUUAAAAUACAAAAACAAUAAUCAACAUUAUGCAUUAAAGCCCUCAACCAUGGUUUUCAAAACCACAUUAACAAUUCUUGAACAAUGUUUAAAACAUAUGAUUUUUGUGAACUAAUAAUAAAGGAAGAGUCACAUGCCUGAGUUACAAAGAUUCACAGAGAGAUUUUGAUCAUUAAGCCUCUAAAUGACCACCUUGAAGAAACCCUAGACUAAUGCUCCUAAGAAG